rnacentral:rRNA from 1 species
CGGGGUGCACCAGGCGCGAAAACUUUACACUGCGGGAAACCGCGAUAAGGGGACCCCGAGUGCCAGCACCUAGUGCUGGCUGUCCAGCUGUCCAAAUAACAGUUGUUAGCAAGGGCCGGGCAAGACCGGUGCCAGCCGCCGCCGGUAACACCGGCGGCCCGAGUGGUAGCCGUUAUUAUUGGGUUUAAAGGGUCCGUAGCCGGCCUAUUAAGUCUCUUGGGAAAUCUGGCGACUCAAUCGUCAGUCGUCCAAGAGAUACUGGUAGGCUUGGGACCGGGAGAGGUGGGAGGUACUCCAGGGGUAGGGGUGAAAUCUCGUAAUCCUUGGGGGACCACCGAUGGCGAAGGCAUCCCACCAGAACGGGUCCGACGGUGAGGGACGAAAGCUGGGGGCACGAACCGGAUUAGAUACCCGGGUAGUCCCAGCUGUAAACGAUGCUCGCUAGGUGUCAGGUGCGGUGCGACCGCAUCUGGUGCCGCAGUGAAAACUUGAAGCGAGUCACCUGGGAAGUACGGUCGCAAGGCUGAAACUUAAAGGAAUUGGCGGGGGAGCAC